GCCAUGCCUUGCUGCCACACAAGUCUGGGUAAAUUGGGCAAACUGGAGCCACAUACACUUUGUUUGUCCUCAAAAGAGUGAAUUACUACUCCUGAGGGUUAUGAUAAAGAAAGCCCAGGCCUCCCCUUUCAUUGUGGAUGCAUUAAAAUAUCAUCCAUCCAUCCAUCUCCCCCCUGUCAUCCAGUGCUCAAUAAAUGGUUAAACG